UGUUUUUGAUCAUUCUCCUGUCAGUGUAUCUUUGGGUAAUUGGAUUUUCUUUUCAUAAACAAAACAAAAACUAGUGCUUAAUUGAUUUGUGUUUUAAAAUGAAGAAUUAAAAUUGAAUUUCAAGGCGUUUUUUUUUUUUUUUUUUCAGUGUCAAAAUAGAUAAA